rnacentral:lncRNA from 1 species
AACUGCCUACUCGCUCCCCCUCCCGAGCCUGGAGCUAACUCCUGUGAGGGGUGCUCUCUUCACCCCACAACUUACUAGACCUUGAGUGAGCCUCUGUCCCUUAUGUGGGCUCUUCGCUGUGAGCCACAGAUGGAGGUCAUUGUAUAGACAGUUAGCCUUCCCCAGGUCAGCCUACCUCCCCCAAACUUGUGAGUCUCCCCGCUGCUCAUAUGGAGAGGCAUGUCUAAGACAGCAAGUCUUCUAGAGGAAGCUUGCCUUUAACAGACAGAUGGAACUAAACCUUCCAAAUGGGAGAUCUGGCUGAACCCAGGAUACAGAGACCAUGGACAUGGAUGGGGUCAUCAAGAGAAGAGGGAUGUCCUUCUCCAGGUUAGGGAGAGAGAAGGCAAGUUUGCAACGAUCCCAUCAUGCCCUGAGCAAGAAGCUUUUGGCCCAGGCUAGCCUUUAACUCCAUUAGAGGCCUCUCUGUUGGGUUUAUCCACAGCAGUAGGCCCAAGUAUGGCCUGUCCCCACCUCUACUAUCCCGUGGAAGGUUUCUUCCCACCCCUUUUUGACAAAUGCCUCACUCGAGCAGUGGAAAGAUAGCUCUCUUCCCCCUCUACUGCCAGGUAACAAAGAGACCUAACCAGGACCUAUUCUCCACCCCAGCCAGUCUUGACCAGCCAGAACAAAGCAGGGAACCUGGAGAAUAAAAGACUCUACGUUCCUCUGACAAAGACUCUACGUUUCUCUGACGGCCAGGCCUAAACAGACAAGGCUUGGGAACAUCUGCCCCACAGGAUACGGAGGAGGUCAGCUGUGCUCACUCCUCUUCUCCUUCCAAGACCCUCUUCCGACCAUGACUUAUCUCCAUGGUAACAUCCUCACCAUCAUUCUCCCACUACCAAGGGUUGCCAUGGCAACCUCCCAACCACCUGCCCAUCCCAGGCAGGGCAGCUGUCCUUCUGCUCAGAACCCUAGAGGACUCUAGGUGAAAUUUUACAGCUUAAGAGAGGAGUGAGCCAAGGAGAAGAGACCCUGUAGUCCUCUGGCUUUCAAGAGAAAGAAGGCUAUGAUUUAAAACACAGUAGAAGGGAAAGAGGUCUCGUCGACCUCUCCCGGGGAGCUUAGGGGUUGUACUGUCUUUAUUUUUUAAACCACUAAAGUGCAAUGUUUCCUGCACUCUUGUUACCCCGCCUCUCUUCCCUGUUAGGUUUUCAUUUCCUUGAGCAGACUUUCUUGGUUUUUUAAUGGAGUAUAGACUUUCACCACUUCACAGACUCUGGCCUCCUCUCCAAGUCUCUCUGGAUGGGGAAAAGGAAGGUAGAGGGUCAGAGGGGAAGGGGUCCCUCGUCACCCCGCAUCCAUUCACCCCCACUUCUCUGGUCCCUAGUCACCGGCUUCAGCCCCCAUCUCCGACACCAUCACUGUCACACAGUAGCCUGUCACACGGAUAGUACAGUUCAGACAAGACUCCUUCAGAUUCCGAGACGCCUACCGGUUGUUUUUGGUUUUUGUUUUGUUUUCUUUUGUUUGUUUGUUUGUUUUUUACAACAGCAAUAACCACAUCACAUAUUACUGUAGCUCUCUAUAGUGUUACGUUCAGACACCGUAGCUCUGUCCUCUCUUAUUUUGUUGGUUUUGACUUAAAAAAAAAUACUUAUGCUUUUUACUGGUGAAACAGAUUGAAAAAAAAAUUGAACAACAAACCAGUUUGUGAAAAAAAAAAAAUGGGAAAAAAAAUCACCCCGAUGUGGAAGAGCUCGGCUCCUCUUUAGCAUUUUGUACUUAAGGAAAUAAAAAAGAAAAACC